rnacentral:rRNA from 1 species
GCCGGCGUCGGCGGGCGUAUUUCGCCUCACAGUAGGUCGCCGCGACCCGUUGCUUUUGGGGACGUCGAAGGCCCGGACGGAUUGGUACCCUACCGGCUGGGGAUGCGGCUUCGGCUUCUCCUCUUGUCCGGUGGGCGAAACCGCCGGUGUCCUGGCUGCCCUGCGACGGUCGUAGAGACGAGCCCUCCCCUUCGGGGGGGCGGCUCUCGCGGCGUGCAAAAGGUCGGUGAUCCACCCGACCCGUCUUGAAACACGGACCAAGGAGUCUAACAUGUGUGCGAGUCAGUGGGCGCACUAAACCCAGAGGCGUAAUGAAAGUGACACGGGUUCGGCUGUCGCCUCGUGUGGCAGCCGGACUCAGGGCCGAUCCCUCACCGGUUGCCCUCGCCUCUCUCCCGCGUCUCGGUAAGCCGGGUGAGCUAUUUUCCCCGGCCGCUGCUGCGGGGCUCGGGGGGAGGCGGGGUUGCGAUGGUGUCCGUAAAAAAGAGCCUGCUGUUGCAGGGGGGCGCAGGCCCGGGACUUGCCAGGACGCCGCGAGACUGUCACUUUGCUGUGAGGCUCUCGGGUCGAUCAGCGGGUCAUGCGUGCAGUCGGCAAGUACCAUGAGCAGACAUGUUGGGACCCGAAAGAUGGUGAACUAUGCCUGGCCAGGAUGAAGCCAGAGGAAACUCUGGUGGAGGUCCGUAG